GACGAACGCUGGCGGCGUGCUUAACACAUGCAAGUCGAACGGAAAGGCCCUGCUUUUGUGGGGUGCUCGAGUGGCGAACGGGUGAGUAACACGUGAGUAACCUGCCCUUGACUUUGGGAUAACUUCAGGAAACUGGGGCUAAUACCGGAUAGGAGCUCCUGCUGCAUGGUGGGGGUUGGAAAGUUUCGGCGGUUGGGGAUGGACUCGCGGCUUAUCAGCUUGUUGGUGGGGUAGUGGCUUACCAAGGCUUUGACGGGUAGCCGGCCUGAGGGGGUGACCGGCCACAUUGGGACUGAGAUACGGCCCAGACUCCUACGGGAGGCAGCAGUGGGGAAUAUUGCACAAUGGGCUGAAGCCUGAUGCAGCAACGCCGCGUGCGGGAUGACGGCCUUCGGGUUGUAAACCGCUUUCGCCUGUGACGAAGCGUGAGUGACGGUAAUGGGUAAAGAAGCACCGGCUAACUACGUG
rnacentral:rRNA from 1 species